rnacentral:rRNA from 1 species
AUUGAACGCUGGCGGAAUGCUUUACACAUGCAAGUCGAACGGCAGCACGGACUUCGGUCUGGUGGCGAGUGGCGAACGGGUGAGUAAUGUAUCGGAACGUGCCCAGUCGUGGGGGAUAACGUAGUGAAAAUUACGCUAAUACCGCAUACGAUCUAUGGAUGAAAGCGGGGGAUCGCAGGACCUCGCGCGAUUGGAGCGGCCGAUAUCAGAUUAGGUAGUUGGUGGGGUAAGGCCCACCAAGCCAACGAUCUGUAGCUGGUCUGAGAGGACGACAGCCACACUGGAACUGAGACACGGUCCAGACUCCUACGGGAGGCAGCAGUGGGGAAUUUUGGACAAUGGGCGAAAGCCUGAUCCAGCCAUUCCGCGUGCAGGAUGAAGGCCCUCGGGUUGUAAACUGCUUUUGUACAGAACGAAAAGGUUUCUACUAAUACUAGGAGCUCAUGACGGUACUGUAAGAAUAAGCACCGGCUAACUACGUGCCAGCAGCCGCUGUAA